rnacentral:lncRNA from 1 species
AAUCUUUGGGAUCAUCAGCAUGGAAUCUUCAUUAUCCCCUCUCUCCUGGGCACCUGCUUCCCGCGCACCUGGAUGAGGACCAGAGGAAUUCGCGAAUUUCCGAAUCACCGCAGGAAAAACCAGCUGGCCUGAAUCAAAGCAAUUCUGGGUAAAAGACUUCCCAGAUGAUCUCUCAACGCCUUGGCAACGCUUGGCGACUGGGAGCUAGAACCAUGAGUUGUUAAUGUGUGCACGGAAGCCACAAGUGUGCAGGACGCAAGCUGGGUUAUUGGAAGCGGACGACACCAAGGAGGCGUUGCCGCGGAUGUGGUGGACGAUGCCAAGUCGUCUUUUAAAAAAGGAAGUGAAGAAUGAUUAAGAGGGUCACGCCCUCUACCACUCCAACCUCUCUAAUCAGUCUCUUUCUGCUCCGUCUGCUGUACAUGCACCUGCUCAGGUGAGACCUCAAGGAAAAAUAAUCCUGUGGGUCCACCUAAUCUGACAACCACAGUUGCUAACAGUAUGAGUUCUGCAGUUAUACAGAACUAAGUCCAUUAGCUGUGUGACCCAUGGCCAAAUAUUUUCCUUCUCUGUGCCUGCAUUUCUUCAUCUGCAAACUGGAAUAAUGAUAGCAACUACUUCAGAGGACUAUAUAAAUGCAUAAAGAAAAUGUAGUAU